UUGUGUUCGGCAAAUCGUAAAAUAUGGCGGUCAUUAUACAUGGCAAUUAACUUAAAUACUAAAUCACACACGUAUCGACACAUUUUUCGGGGUGCUUUCUCAUUCUUAACAGAAGUUAGAAAGUCGAAACAUGGGAUGCGUGGAGGUCUAACC
rnacentral:sRNA from 1 species